rnacentral:rRNA from 1 species
CACGUAGGGCGCAAGCGUUGUCCGGAAUUAUUGGGCGUAAAGAGCUCGUAGGCGGUCUGUUGCGUCUGCUGUGAAAACCCGGGGCUUAACCCCUGGCUUGCAGUGGAUACGGACAGACUAGAGGUAGGUAGGGGAGAAUGGAAUUCCCGGUGUAGCGGUGAAAUGCGCAGAUAUCGGGAGGAACACCGGUGGCGAAGGCGGUUCUCUGGGCCUUACCUGACGCUGAGGAGCGAAAGCGUGGGGAGCGAACAGGG